GGAGGCGGCGCAUCUGGGGAGGCGAUUACGUAAGGUGCGAAACUGGCGCUGUGAAGGCGCGGCGGAGCCCGUUCCGGCGCAUGCACAGACACGCACGCAAAGAGCCGCCCGCGGGCUCAAACCGCAGGCGGGCACGCCGACCAGGAAGCGCACGUCCCUCAGAACCACCUGCCUGUGCACGCGCACACGCACGCACGCACACGCACACUCACUCCUGCCUCUGUCUCUCUGCCUGUACACACGCACGCACACACACGCACACUCACUCCUGCCUCUGUCUCUCUGCCUGUACGGAGACACGUGCACACGCACGCACACACACGCACUCCUGCCUCCGUCUCUCUCUCUCUCUGUCGGUCUCUCUCUCUGUUUCUCUCUGUCUCUCUGGCUGUAUGUCAGUCUCUCUCACUCAGUUUAUCUUGCUAUCUCUUUGUCUGUCAGUCUGUCUCUCUUUCUCGAUCUCUCUGUCACUGCUUCUUUGUAUCUGUUUGUCUGCCUCUCUCCCUCUGCCACUCCUUCUUUCUCUCUCUCCCUCUCCCGUUCAGCUACCGAAGAGCUGCACCAAAACAGAGGCCCGGUCGGGAGGCCCCUCGACAGCUCGGAGGUGCAGCUGCGCGGAUGCCUUCCCAGCAUGCAGCUGUGCUUCAACCAGGCCCUUUAACCUCUGCAUCUGUCUCUCAGACACCCCCCCACCCCUCACCAGCGCCUCUCAGUCUCAGUCAGGGAGGGCUAAGUCCGGCCCCCGGCUGCAUCGCACCGUCCCACGCUCCAAGGCCGAGCCCGCUCGUGUGGACGGACGUGCAGGCAAGCGCCGCUAUUGGACGAGCCAUCCGCAUGCGAUGCACGCUAGCAGAAACUACAGCCGAUUAGCAGCUGAAAUCUUACCCCCGGCCCCAGAGAGCAGAAUGCGGAGAGAUCGUCAGGGCGAUGGACUGAUUAAUCCUCCGCCUCUGGUGAUUCGCCGAGCCCGUCGUCGUCUGGAUCAGAACCGGGGGGCCAAUCGCAAUUAAUUACACAUUGGUUAUGACAUACUAGCUCGUUUCCAUCCAUCAAAAUGGCACCCGCCAUGUUUACAGUCAUGCUGCAUCCUCUCCACCAAAGGUAGCCCAUGUAAGGCUGGAGCAAGCCAUUAUAAAUCUGUAAGGUGUGCAUGUGACAAUGUUAUAGGUAUAGUUGCAUAAAGACAGCUUAGCUGUAUAGUAUUGCACUUUUGUUUAUGAUCUUCACUUCUGUUUACAGUACUAAUUGUUGGUUUGUUCAUUUAACUUCACGCUUAUAAUUAUAAAUGGGCCUUCUUGGUGAUAUCAGACUUUCGUAUUUCUCAGCCGAACACUGGUGUCGUCCAAUUCUGUGAGUCACUCUGGAAACAGAGGCUGCCAAUUUACUGCAAUGUAAUGUAAUGUAAUGUAAUGCAAUGUAAUAGGAGAAUAAGGCUUCAUUAAACAAAAAAUAGGCAGAGCUUUUAUGAGUGAGUCACUGAAUUUUGCUGUGGACAGAAAAAUCUUUUGACUGGUUAAAAAAAUGGAGCAAUUGAGAGCAUAACGUAUAUUUAUUUAGCCUAUUUGUUAACGAGGACCACGUCGAAGACGGGGGCUGUACCAGUUAGCUGCUGAGCUAACAUAUACCUGCAGUCUGUGGAAGACAUUCCUCAAACCCCUCUCCCAUCAUUAGAUACCCAAAUAGAUUUUCGGGUUUUUGAAAUUGUACAGAGCUGGGUGGCAAAAAAAACAAGAGAAUUUUAAGGACAGCUGAUUUUACGGGAGAAAGGUUUGCGUAACGGCUAUAGAAAGAAACAGUUUAGUUAAAUUGUAUUUUAAUAGAUAAUUUAAUAUUAAAGUCGCAUUUGCGGCAUACAUAGCGCUUUCGCUCUCAACAGAUUUGAAUUAUUUACACCAUACAAUUUUUCAUUUCUCGAAAACUAAGCGCAUUUGACACAUUUAUAUAUUUGAUUUUCCCAACAGAAUGCGUUUCAUAAUUUGUCUCUGCCCAUUUUCGGAGUGGAAAGUAUUAUUUUUUCCCUCAGAUUUAGGGAAAGCGGAACAAUGGAGACGGGCGAGAGAGAGCGAGAGAAAAAGGCCGUGUACCGCCGUCUGAGCCUCCGGCAAAACCCGCUACAAGUUUCCGCGCUCACCCUCCGGAGACGCCGCGUGUGUCUGCCGCUCGGUUUCAUGUAAAACGCCUGUACGAAAAACCGUCAUGACAUGCAGUGUCAUGUCAGCGAGCUGUGUCAUGACAACGUGUCACGUCAGCUAACUUAUCACAGUGCGAGGCUCAGAAAGCGCUACCGCCGCGCAUCGCUGCCACGAGCGUCUGCUCCCGUUUUCAAAGACACUUCCCCAGUAAACAUCCAACGCUUUUUCAGAGCUUUGCGUUCUGCAAACACGCAUCAUUUAUUUUGAAAUGUCUUUAUUCUACUGUUUUUUUU